UCUAGCUUAACAUAUGUUAUCAAUGUGAAAGAUUGUAAAUCUUUAAAAAGCUUUUGCUAGUUAGGA
rnacentral:tRNA from 2 species